CGCGGUUAAAUAAAGAAAUAUCCUUCCGCCAAGCUUCGACUGAAAGAGUCCUUCGGGCCACCCACGUUCACUAAUAGCCUGAAGAUGAGGCUAAACGGGAAAACAAACAUUAUAGAGGUCGUGACGAGCCAUGACGUUUCUACUGCUGCCUCAGGUGGGCUGAGCCAUAAGCACUAAGUGCCGUCUGCGGUAUCGGCGGAAGGAUCCGCGGGAGUCUGAAGGAGUGAAGCGACCGCUUAUACGUGCAAUCCGCAGCGUACUCAGAUAUAGCACGGGGAGGGGGCACCUGUAGGGGGCUUCUGCGCGUGCGCGCAGCGACAAGGUGCACCUGCGGGGGCGCUGCAGACUGCCUUCUGCGCAGGCGCAGUCGGCACGGCAUCUGCCACCUGCUCGGGGGCCGCCUCUGCGCCUGCGCACGGAGGUCGGCCAUGCUGAGGAGAGCAGGAGGCUGCCAUGGCCACCAUCUUGUUUGUCAGCUUGGGGGCUGGGGGAGCGAGAAAGAGCUGGCUCCUGUGCGACAAGGACACGCACGUUUGGGGACAUAAAGUGGUAUAGAGGUUCGUUGAAGGUUUGGAAAGAUUUUGAGGUUUUCUAGUUGUAGUUGAGGUGGUUCAUGUAUGUAUAUCCAGAGGCAAAUGGUUUCUGUCUCCUCAGAUCCCUCAUUCCUGUCAUGGCAGACCGGCAUGCUCUUGUGAAAGGCUGUGGCCAAGGUCAUAAAACCUAGUAGUUUAACUGAAAAGAUGGUGAAGAGCAAGCAGGCUAUCUCAUGCCAUGAUCCAGGAAGACACACCGCUCAUCUUUCACCGCAGGACCUUCCUACUCAAUGAUAUGGGAGGAAAUGGCCAAAAAUGAUGGAAGACCCAAGGAAAAGGAACUACUGACUCAUCAAGUUUACUGGAAAUGGAGAUCGUUGGGCUUAUCUCUUCUCCUGGUUCCUCCCAUCACAAGAGACUCCUCAGGCCCCAAGUCCUCACCCAACAGCAGUUCUGCCACUGUCACAUCUAUUCCACCAUUUUCUGAAGAUGGUGCUGCUUGUGCUGAGUCGUGUUGUUGUUUGUUUUCUAAAAGGUUUUCCCACCAGUUUGCUGUGGGACUCUUCACUAACUUAUUCUCUGCUGCUACAUUCAAACACAUUCAUCUGCAAAACCUGAAGGGAUAAGAACUCCUUGCUCACCAUGAUGAGGGAGUUCCCAUCCUUGACACAGCAGAAAUCAGGCAGCACAAAUACAUGAGUAGCUUUAAGACCUCUUCAGUGGCUCCUAGCAAGGAAUGAUUGAAUUGUUAAGGUUGGAAAAGACCACAACGAUCACCUAGUUCAACCAUCACGGAGAUGAACCUAGUGUUAUGUAGCAUUUCCAGCAGGGAAAACAAAAGUGGAUAAUAUAAAUUGAGUCUAACUGAUAAACAACUACAUGCAGCCUGGAGGAAUGCUCAUUAGCAGUCACUGAAAUGAAGAACAAGCAAGUUUGCUUUUCAGAUUUAAAAGCAGCUUUAGAUAUUUGCAUGUGGACCAGCCCUACAAAAUACAACUUGUGAUACGAGCAUUCUGGUUUCCUUGACUGCUUCUUUCAUCCUGCCACUUACCAGCAGUCACUUAAACAGGAGCCAUGAGUAUUUAGAAGAGAGAAUUGGCUGUUUUAUGGACUGAUGUAUCCAGGCAUGGAAACAGGCACUGCAGUUGCUCAGAAGCUGAGGUGCAGCUGCGGGCUUGGAAGUGAUGCUCUUCCAGGCUCACCUCUCCUCCUACAUGUGCUGCGGCCACUUUCUCAACAGCAGCCAUCUGGGCCAACAGGAGCACUGGCCACUUCUGAGGGACACCAACUGGAUUCCAGUCUGAAGCCUGUCGCUGAUACUGGGGCUCCUAAUUCUGAUAUACUUUGUGGUAUUUAUCACCGUAAAACACUCAGCAAUUUCCUACUCCUCGCUGUAAAACUCCCUACAUCAAUUACAUGUCAGUAAAAUAAAUGAUCUUUUCCCUAACCAUCACUUUUCACAGUUGCAGAAGACUAAUGCCUAUUCUCCUAACACAAGAUUUUGGAAGUAGAAAUUCAUGCCUAAAGUUACAACAAUAGAUUUAAGCCAAAAUCUUGUCUCUAGUGAAAUCAGACGUUUCAUCCUUUAAUUUUUUAGGAAACUGCAUGUCAAUCCUGUCUUCUCCUUAAAGGAAGACUGUAAGCUGUCUUGUGUCUUACCUCUUCUCAACAGUAUAGAAAGUCAAAACUGAACUUCUCUUGCUUCUGAACAUGUAAUGCCCUUUACAGCACAACUACCAAACUGCAGUUCUUAAUGAAAAGAAAAAAAGAGGAAGCUACAUUUCCCCAUUUCCUUUACAGAAGAACUUGUGUUGUAGCAUAGGCUUCUGGUGCUGCUUCCAACUCUUAUUUCUUACACAUAAAUCAUCACAGAACCGAAUUUACAAUUUUAGU